GACGACGCUGGCGGCGUGCUUAACACAUGCAAGUCGAACGGUGACGAGGAGCUUGCUCCUCUGAUCAGUGGCGAACGGGUGAGUAACACGUGAGCAACCUGCCCCAGACUCUGGGAUAACAGUUGGAAACAGCUGCUAAUACCGGAUACGAGACGGAGAGGCAUCUCUACCGUCUGGAAAGUUUUUCGGUCUGGGGAUGGACUCGCGGCCUAUCAGCUAGUUGGUGAGGUAAUGGCUCACCCAAGGCGACGACGGGUAGCCGGCCUGAGAGGGCGACCGGCCACACUGGGACUGAGACACGGCCCAGACUCCUACGGGAGGCAGCAGUGGGGAAUAUUGCACAAUGGGCGAAAGCCUGAUGCAGCGACGCCGCGUGAGGGAUGACGGCCUUCGGGUUGUAAACCUCUUUCAGCAGGGAAGAAGCGAAAGUGACGGUACCUGCAGAAGAAGCACCGGCUAACUACGUG
rnacentral:rRNA from 1 species